rnacentral:sRNA from 1 species
UUUUAGUUUGCCUAUUAUCUAGCCAGUUUUUAAAUAUAUGUACAGAUGGUUCUUGAUUUUUUCUUAUAAUUUUUUGACUUUAUGAUGGAUUUAUCAGGAUGUAAACCUAUCAUAAGUCAAGGAGCAUCUGAGUAUCCCAUGUAUAUUCAUGCUUUAUUACACAAUGAUCUGAUUAUUUGUCAGCACAUUUUUAAAUUCUCUAAUGAAAUGUGUGGCUUUUGUUUAUAGACUGUGGCAGGGUAUACCAUUCCUCCAGGACAUCAGGUGUGUGUUUCUCCCACUGUCAAUCAAAGACUUAAAGACUCAUGGGUAGAACGCCUGGACUUUAAUCCUGAUCGCUACUUACAGGAUAACCCAGCAUCAGGGGAAAAGUUUGCCUAUGUGCCAUUUGGAGCUGGGCGUCAUCGUUGUAUUGGGGAAAAUUUUGCCUAUGUUCAAAUUAAGACAAUUUGGUCCACUAUGCUUCGUUUAUAUGAAUUUGAUCUCAUUGAUGGAUACUUUCCCACUGUGAAUUAUACAACUAUGAUUCACACCCCUGAAAACCCAG